rnacentral:rRNA from 1 species
UACGAGGGGGGCAAGCGUUGUUCGGAAUUAUUGGGCGUAAAGGGCGCGUAGGCGGUGCGGUAAGUCACCUGUGAAAACUCUGGGCUCAACUCAGAGCCUGCAGGCGAAACUGCCGUGCUUGAGUGUGGGAGAGGUGCGUGGAAUUCCCGGUGUAGCGGUGAACUGCGUAGAUAUCGGGAGGAACACCUGUGGCGAAAGCGGCGCACUGGACCACAACUGACGCUGAGGCGCGAAAGCUAGGGGAGCAAACAGG